GACGAACGCUGGCGGCGUGCUUAACACAUGCAAGUCGAACGGUAAGGCCCCAGCUUGCUGGGGUAUACGAGUGGCGAACGGGUGAGUAACACGUGGGUGAGCUGCGUCGCAGUUCGGGAUAAGCCUGGGAAACUGGGUAUAAUACCGGCUACGACCGCACCGAGGGGGGGUGGCGGCAAGUUUUUCGGUGUGGGAUGGGCCUGCGGCGUAUCAGCUUGUUGGUGGGGUAAUGGCCUACCAAGGCGGCGACGGGUAGCCGGCCUGAGAGGGUGGACGGCCACAUUGGGACUGAGACACGGCCCAGACUCCUACGGGAGGCAGCAGUGGGGAAUAUUGCCCAAUGGGCGGAAGCCUGAUGCAGCGGCGCCGCGUGGGGGAUGACGGCCUUCGGGUUGUAAACUCCUUUCACCAUCGACGAAGGUUUUCUGACGGUAGAUGGAGAAGAAGCACCGGCUAACUACGUG
rnacentral:rRNA from 1 species